GCCCUUGAGUUUGAUCCUGGCUCAGAACUAACGCUGGCGGCGUGCCUAACACAUGCAAGUCGUACGAGAAAGUUGGCUUCGGCCGAUGAGUAAAGUGGCGCACGGGUGAGUAACGCGUGGAUAAUCUACCCCUCAGUUGGGAAUAACUCAUCGAAAGGUGGGCUAAUACCGAAUAAUACUGCAUGACUUCUGUUGUGUAGUCAAAGAUGGCCUCUGCUUGCAUGCUAUUGCUGAAGGAUGAGUCCGCGUACCAUUAGCUAGUUGGUAGGGUAAUGGCCUACCAAGGCAACGAUGGUUAGCUGGUCUGAGAGGAUGAUCAGCCACACUGGAACUGAGACACGGUCCAGACUCCUACGGGAGGCAGCAGUGGGGAAUAUUGCGCAAUGGGGGAAACCCUGACGCAGCAACGCCGCGUGAGUGAGGAAGGUUUUCGGACCGUAAAGCUCUGUCGAGCGGGAAGAAAUGCAUAAUGGCUAAUAUCCAUUAUGCUUGACGGUACCGCUAAAGGAAGCACCGGCUAACUCCGUGCCAGCAGCCGCGGUAAUACGGGGGGUGCUAGCGUUGUUCGGAAUCAUUGGGCGUAAAGAGCGUGUAGGCGGCUGGAUAAGUCAGAUGUGAAAGCCCUGGGCUUAACCUAGGAAGUGCAUUUGAAACUGUUCAGCUUGAGUAGGGGAGAGGAAAGUGGAAUUCCUGGUGUAGAGGUGAAAUUCGUAGAU
rnacentral:rRNA from 1 species